CAGGAGGUGAAUGAUUUACCCACAAUCACACAUCUGGAGUCUUGAUUUAAACUCCAGUCCUCCUCCUGUCUCUAAGACCAGCACUCAUAUGAAUAUUGUUCUUUCCUCCAAUGUUUCACAGAACUUCUCCUCCAGAGGGGAGAUGGUAGAGAGGAGUAGGUCCUGGUGGUCUGGCAAGGCUGGCACAUGCCAGCUCCUGUCUCUCUGGGUGCCUUGCUGCUAUUAGUACCUUAAGGACCAAGUGACCUUUCCAUCUGUCUUGAAGCUGAAACCUCCUAUUCUUUCCCCCUAGAAUGUGGGCUUCAGAGCAUUAAUCUUGCUUUCUCUUCCUAACCCAGUGAUUUCACAGUAAGUGAUUAACAAAUGAUUUUUUUUUCCAUUCAUGUAUGUUAUAUUCCAGACAAACCGGACUUAGUUAUUAGUUGUUCCCUGUUGUCAUACUUGCCUCUCCUGAUUCAUAUUCAAGCAGAAAGAUGAAUUUCUGGAGAUCCUGAAGUCCAGUAGAGCAGCUAUUAGGAAAUGAGAUCAGUGCCUUGUUCAUUCUCCUUAAAUGGAAGAUCUGGAGCUGGAGGGAACUCUCCAAUCAAUAUCCCCUUCUCCAACCAGAAGGAGAUAAGAACUCUUUAAGAGUGGGGCGAGGGGAUGCUGAAGAGAUGUGAGUUUCAAAGCACAAUAAUGUUCCACUGCAUGCAUAUGCCACAAUGUGUAUGCCCAUUCUCCAAUUAAUGGAUAUCUCCUCAAUUUCCUAUUCAUUAUCACCAAAAAAAAAAUGCUGCUAUAAAUAUUUUUGGACUUAUGAGUCUUUCUUUGAUCUCUCUGAGGAACAGACCGAAU
rnacentral:lncRNA from 1 species